rnacentral:tRNA from 1 species
UGCUUUUAUAGGACAAAAGCCGUCCCUUGGUCUUAGGAACCAAAAACCUGGUGCAACUCCAGAUAAAAGUAA